UAAAACGGAAGAGGAGCGUUACCUAGGUAUCAUAAUGACAGGACCCCAUCCAAUCGCCAUUAUGAGAGGGAGAGUAACGCCGAGGUAUAACUGAUUAGGGGAUGAGUUAUAUCGGCUAUGAAGGUUGAAUCCUUCUAGCUGUCACCAAGGUCAAUGAUUGACAUUGGUGGGGAGCUUCUGGGUGA
rnacentral:ncRNA from 2 species